UUUGUACUCCCUCCAUCCCAAAAUUCUUGUCUUAAAUUUGUCUAAAUACGGAUGUAUCUAGUUACAUUUUAUUGUUAGAUACAUUUGUAUCUAAACAAAUGUAAGACAAGAAUUUUGGGAUGGGGGGAAUACUAC
rfam:Triticum aestivum genome assembly, contig: Triticum_aestivum_CS42_TGACv1_scaffold_222028_3B